rnacentral:rRNA from 1 species
AAAUUAAAAAUUAAUAAUUUAUAUAUUAAUAAAAGUAAUUUUAAUAUUAAAAUAAUAGGGGGUUAAAGUAUUUUAAUAGAAAAAAUUAGAAAUUUUAUAGUUAAUUAGUAUAGUAAUAGAAAUUUGAAAUAAUAGAAAAUUAAAUUAUUUAAAAGUAAAUUUAAUUUAUUGUAUCUUGUGUAUCAGAGUUUAUUAAAUAAAUUUUAAAUUUUUAAAUAUCUCGAAUUUAAAAGAGUUAAUUAAUUAAUAAAUAUAAUGUUAAAUAAUUAUUUUAAAUAAUUAAUUAGAAAUGAAAUGUUAAUCGUUUUUAAAUAUAUCUAGUUAUUUUAGAAAAAAAUUUAAUUUUAAAUUUAUAAUAAUAAUUAUAUUAAAUAAUUAAUAUAAUUAAUAUUAAAUUUUAUAAUUUAAGGGAUAAGCUUUAAAUUAAAGAUUUAUAAUAUAAAGGUUUUAUUUAAAAUUUUUAAAAUUUAUAUUGUUUAAAAAUUAAAGUUUUUUAUAAAAGAUUUUAAAAAAAAUAAAAUUUAAUAAAAUUUAAUUUUUUAUAAAAAUAUAAUUUUUAAUUAUUUUUAAUUAAAAAUAAUGAUAAAAUUAGUAUAAUAAUUUAAUUAAUAAGAAUAUAAUAGAUUAAAAAUUAAAUAAAAGGAAUUCGGCAAAAAUUUAUAUUCACCUGUUUAACAAAAACAUGUCUUUUUGAGUUUAAUUUAAAGUCCAAUCUGCCCACUGAUUAAAAAUUAAAGGGCUGCAGUAAUUUGACUGUACAAAGGUAGCAUAAUCAUUAGUCUUUUAAUUGAAGACUUGUAUGAAAGAUUUGAUGAAAUAUAUACUGUCUCUUAUUUAUAAUUAAAAUUUAAUUUUUUAGUUAAAAAGCUAAAAUAAAUUUAAAAGACGAGAAGACCCUAUAGAGUUUUAUAAUUUAUUAUUUAAAAUAUUUAUAUAAAAUUUUAAUAUUUAAUAUUUUAAAUUAUUUUAUUGGGGUGAUAAAAAAAUUUAAAAAACUUUUUUUUAAAAUUAACAUUAAUAAUUGAAUUUUUGAUCCUGAUUAAAGAUUAUAAGAAAAAAUUACCUUAGGGAUAACAGCGUAAUAUUUUUUUUUUAGUACAAAUAAAAAAAAAGUUUGCGACCUCGAUGUUGGAUUAAGAUAAAAUUUAAAUGCAAAAGUUUAAAAUUUUGAUCUGUUCGAUCAUUAAAAUCUUACAUGAUCUGAGUUCAAACCGGUGUAAGCCAGGUUGGUUUCUAUCUUUAGAAAAAUAAAAUAUUUUA